rnacentral:rRNA from 1 species
UACGUAGGGUGCGAGCGUUAAUCGGAAUUACUGGGCGUAAAGCGUGCGCAGGCGGUUCGCCAAGUCAGGUGUGAAAUCCCCGGGCUUAACCUGGGAAUGGCAUUGGUGACUGCACGGCUAGAGUGUGUCAGAGGGGGGGUAGAAUUCCGCGUGUAGCAGUGAAAUGCGUAGAUAUGCGGAGGAACACCGAUGGCGAAGGCAAUCCCCCUGGGCCUGCACUGACGCUCAUGCACGAAAAGCGUGGGGGAGCAAACAGG